rnacentral:rRNA from 1 species
GAUGAACGCUAGCGGCAGGCCUAAUACAUGCAAGUCGAGGGGUAGAGGAAGCUUGCUUUCUUGAGACCGGCGCACGGGUGCGUAACGCGUAUGCAACCUACCUUUAUCAGGGGGAUAGCCCGGAGAAAUCCGGAUUAACACCGCAUAAAAUCACAGAACAGCAUUGUUUCAUGAUCAAAUAUUUAUAGGAUAAAGAUGGGCAUGCGGUCCAUUAGCUAGUUGGCGGGGUAACGGCCCACCAAGGCGACGAUGGCUAGGGGCUCUGAGAGGGGAAUCCCCCACACUGGUACUGAGACACGGACCAGACUCCUACGGGAGGCAGCAGUAAGGAAUAUUGGUCAAUGGGGGCAACCCUGAACCAGCCAUGCCGCGUGCAGGAAGACUGCCCUAUGGGUUGUAAACUGCUUUUGUACGGGAAUAACCACUGGUAUGUAUACCAGCCUGAAUGUACCGUAAGAAUAAGGAUCGGCUAACUCCGUGCCAGCAGCCGCGGUAACAC